GCCUGAGUGUAGCAUAGUGGUAGGGAGUAGGGCUCGUAACCGGAAGGUUGCUGGUUCGAUUCCCCCUUGGUGCA